AGUGAACGCUGGCGGUAGGCCUAGCACAUGCAAGUCGAACGGCAGCACAGUAAGAGCUUGCUCUUACGGGUGGCGAGUGGCGGACGGGUGAGGAAUACAUCGGAAUCUACUUUUUCGUGGGGGAUAACGUAGGGAAACUUACGCUAAUACCGCAUACGACCUACGGGUGAAAGCAGGGGAUCUUCGGACCUUGCGCGAUUGAAUGAGCCGAUGUCGGAUUAGCUAGUUGGCGGGGUAAAGGCCCACCAAGGCGACGAUCCGUAGCUGGUCUGAGAGGAUGAUCAGCCACACUGGAACUGAGACACGGUCCAGACUCCUACGGGAGGCAGCAGUGGGGAAUAUUGGACAAUGGGCGCAAGCCUGAUCCAGCCAUACCGCGUGGGUGAAGAAGGCCUUCGGGUUGUAAAGCCCUUUUGUUGGGAAAGAAAAGCAGCAGGUUAAUACCCCGCUGUUCUGACGGUGCCCAAAGAAUAAGCACCGGCUAACUUCGUG
rnacentral:rRNA from 1 species